AUGUUGACCACUGACAGAAAAUUUUCUGUCAAGUCUCUAUACAGAUAUUUGAUUAAAACUGAUGUGGGGUUUCCUAGAAAUUUUUUGUGGAAAAUUAAAGUUCGUGCUAAAAUUAGAUUCUUCCUAUGGCUUAUGGCUAGAAAAAGUGUACUUACUAGAGAUAACUUGUUAAGAAGAGGCUGGAAAGGGGAUAAACAUUGCGUGUUCUGUGGCAAGGAUGAAACAAUUGAUCAUUUGUUUUUCUCUUUCUCGGUAUCCAGAAUUAUCUGGGCAUUAGUAAGAUGUGCGUUUGAUUUAAAAUGUACUCCUAGAGAUCUUAACGAUUGUCUUGGAAACUGGCUAAAAAAAUUCCAGGAAGAUAGCAAGAAGCUUAUAUUGGUUGGCAUCUCAGCGCUGUUAUGGGCGAUUUGGAGAUGCAGCAAUGAUAUUGUAUUUGAUAGAAAAAAGAUAUCUGGCCCAAUGGGAAUUGUGAAAAUGUUGUGUGGAUGGAUUGUUGGCUGGGCUAUUUUGUAG
rnacentral:rRNA from 1 species